rnacentral:misc_RNA from 1 species
GAUGAAGAACGCAGCGAAAUGCGAUAAGUAAUGUGAAUUGCAGAAUUCAGUGAAUCAUCGAAUCUUUGAACGCACCUUGCACUCCUUGGUAUUCCGAGGAGUAUGCCUGUUUGAGUGUCAUGAAAUUAUCAACUUCAUAGUUUUAUUACUUUGAAGCUUGGAUUUGGAAGCUUGCUGGCUCUCUGGGUCGGCUCCUCUUAAAUGUAUUAGCUGCUUGUCGGCAGGUUGGCUCAGAGUGUGAUAAGUAUCUACACUUGGUGGCUGCUUGCUUGGAUGUGGCUUCUAAUCGUCUUCGGACAACUCUUUAAGAUCUGACCUCAAAUCAGGUAGGACUACCCGCUGAACUUAAGCAUAUCAAUAAGCGGAGGA